UACGAGGGGGGCGAGCGUUGUUCGGAAUUAUUGGGCGUAAAGGGUGCGUAGGCGGCGCGGUAAGUCGGAUGUGAAAUCUCGGAGCUUAACUCCGAAACUGCAUUCGAUACUGCCGUGCUUGAGGACUGGAGAGGAGACUGGAAUUUACGGUGUAGCGGUGAAAUGCGUAGAUAUCGUAAGGAAGACCAGUGGCGAAGGCGGGUCUCUGGACAGUUCCUGACGCUGAGGCACGAAGGCCAGGGGAGCAAACGGG
rnacentral:rRNA from 1 species